rnacentral:tRNA from 1 species
GCCUCGGUGGCUCAGCAGGUAGAGNNUAGCUCAGUGGUAGAGCAGCUGAUUCGUAAUCAGCAGGUCGGGGGUUCAAAUCCCCUCCGAGGCU